UACAGAACCCCCAAGCGUUAUCCGGAUUUAUUGGGCGUAAAGCGUCCGUAGCCGGUUUAGAAAGUCUCUGGUUAAAUACCAAGGGCUCAACCUUUGGAAGGCCAGAGAAACUUCUAGACUAGAGGGUGUUAGGGGUUACUGGAACUCUUAGUGGAGGGGUGGAAUCCGUUGAUGUUAAGAGGAACACCAAAAGCGAAGGCAUGUAACUGGGGCAACCCUGACGGUGAGGGACGAAAGCUAGGGGCGAAAAAAGGAUUAGAUACCCUUGUAUUCCUAGCUGUAAACGAUGGAUACUAGUCAUGUGAAGUGUCGACCCUUCACGUGGCGAAGCUAACGCGUUAAGUAUCCCGCCUGGGAAGUACGGCCGCAAGGCUAAAACUCAAAGGAAUAGACGGGGACCAACACAAGCGGUGGAUCAUGUGGCUUAAUUCGUCAGCAAGCGUGGAACCUUACCAGGGCUUGACAGACUAGUGAACGCUCAUGGAAACAUGAACUUUCUCACAAGGACACUAGUCCAGGUGUUGCACGGCUGUCGUCAGCAUGUACCUUGAGGCGCUCCGUUAAAUCGGGCAACAUGCGCAACCCUCAUCCUGUGUUUCACGUGUCACAGGAAACUGCCUGAGACAAUCAGGAGGAAGGUGAGGAUGACGCCAAGUCAGCGUGGCCCUUUGAUGUCCUGGGCUGCACACAUGAUACAAUGGGAUUGACAGCGGGAUGCAAAGCCGCAAGGCCGAGCUAAUCCCUUAAACUUUCCCUCAGUUCGGAUCGAGGUCUGCAAUUCGACCUCGUGAAGCCGGAAUCGCUAGUAAUCGCGUAUCAGCCACGGCGCGAUGAAUACGUUUCUUGGUC
rnacentral:rRNA from 1 species